GUAGGUGAACCUGCGGAAGGAUCAUUAAUGAGAUCAUGCCCUUCGGGGUAGACCUCCCACCCUUUGUUUACAAUACCUUUGUUGCUUUGGCGGCCCCGUCGCAAGACAACCGGCUCCGGCUGGUCAGCGGCCGCCAGAGGACUCAAAACUCAUAUUAUUAUUGUCGUCUGAGUACUAUAUAAUAGUUAAAACUUUCAACAACGGAUCUCUUGGUUCUG
rnacentral:misc_RNA from 1 species